rnacentral:rRNA from 1 species
GGGGUUAAAUUAAUAAUUUGUGUAAAUGGGAAUAUAUAUAUAUUAUAACUAAUAAAAGAAAUUUUAAUAUUAAAAAGAAAAAAUGGGGGUUGGAGUAUUUUUAAUAGAAAAAAUUAUAAAUUUUAUAGUUAAUUAUUACUGUAAAGGAAAUUAUAAAUAAGUGAAAUUUAAUUAAAUUAAAAGUAAAUUUGAAUUAUUGUAUCUUGUGUAUCAGAGUUUAUUUAAUAAUAAUAUUUAUUUAAAUAAAUCUCGAAUUUAAAAGAGUUAAUUAAUUAAAAAAGUUAAUGUUGAAUAAUUAUUUUUAAUAAUUAAUUAGAAAUGAAAUGUUAAUCGUUUUUAAAUAUAUCUAGUUUUUUUAGAAAAAAAUUUAAUUUUAAAUUAAAAUAAUUUUAUAAUUGAUUAAUUAAUUAUAAAAAUUUAAUAUUUAGUAUUUUAGGGGAUAAGCUUUAAAUUAAAAUAUUAUAGUUAAUUAAAAAAAAAAUUAUUAAAAUUUUUAAAAUUUAUAUUGUUUAAAAAUUAUAAUUUAUUUAUAAAAAAUUUUAAUAAAAAUAAAAUUUUAAUUGUAUUUAAUUUUUUAUAAAAAAAUAAUUUUAAAUAAAAUUAAAUUAGAUAUAAUGAUAAAAUUAGUAUAAUAUACAUAUAUAUAUAUAUAUAUAUAUAUAUAUAUUUACAUAUAUGAAUAUAAAUUAAAAAAAAAUUAAGUUAAAGGAAUUCAGCAAAACUUUAUAUUCACUUGUUUAUCAAAAACAUGUCUUUUUGAAAAUAAUUUAAAGUCUAAUCUGCCCACUGAUAUAAUUAUUAAAGGGCUGCAGUAUAUUGACUGUACAAAGGUAGCAUAAUCAUUAGUCUUUUAAUUGAAGACUUGUAUGAAAGAUUUGAUGAAAUAUAAACUGUCUCUAAUUUAUUAUUAAAAUUUAAUUUUUUAGUGAAAAAGCUAAAAUUUAUUUAAAAGACGAGAAGACCCUAUAGAGUUUUAUAAUUAAAUUAUUAAUUAAUAAAUAUAAAAUAUAAAAUAAUAAUUAAUUUCAUUAUUUUAUUGGGGUGAUAGAAAAAUUAAUUAAACUUUUUUUAUAUAUGUGAACAUUAAUAAGUGAAUAAAUGAUCCAUUAUUUAAUGAUUAUAAGAAAAAAUUACCUUAGGGAUAACAGCGUAAUAUUUUUUUUUAGUACAAAUAAAAAAGAAAGUUUGCGACCUCGAUGUUGGAUUAAGAUAAAAUUUAAAUGUAGAAGUUUAAAAUUUUGAUCUGUUCGAUCAUUAAAAUCUUACAUGAUCUGAGUUCAAACCGGUGUAAGCCAGGUUGGUUUCUAUCUUUAGAAAAAUAAAAUAUUUUA